ACUUCGAUAUCACAACCACUUCGUUCAUAAGUUCCUCUAGUCCUUGUCCUGAUUUCCUUGAGAGCCUCUUGACUGCAAUUUCUUGUCCUUCUGGACCAAACCCGCCUUGACCGAGCUUGUUUCUGAGAGAGAAGCUAUCGGUUGCUGUAGCUAACACUUGAAACUCAAAGAGUGGAAGCUCCUUGAGCUUUAUUUGGUUAGAAGCAGACUCAUUAUCACUUGUAAGUGCUUCCAUUCUCUUAAACAUUAGCUCUGCACUUCUAUCUUUCGCUGGAGCUGCUAAGGCAAUGAUCAAUGAAGCAAACAAAUUAUGAUCAAUGUAACAAUCUGAAGCAAACAUUCAUGAGUAAACAAACUUCUAACCUGGACGCUU